CGGCGUGGAUUAGGCAUGCAAGUCGUGCGAGAAAGGGUAGCAAUACCUGAGUACAGCGGCGAACUGGUGAGUACAAGGUGGGUAAUGUGCCCUGAAGUGGGGGAUAACACCGGGAAACCGGUGCUAAUACCGCAUAUGAUCAUCGGGUCUUCGGACCUGAUGAUUAAAGCAGUGAUGCGCUUCGGGAUCGGCCCGCCCCCGAUUAGCUAGUUGGUGAGGUCAAAGCUCACCAAGGCUACGAUCGGUAGCUGGUCUGAGAGGAUGGUCAGCCACACUGGAACUGAGAUACGGUCCAGACUCCUACGGGGGGCAGCAGUCUAGAGGCUUCGGCAAUGGGGGCAACCCUGACCGAGCGACGCCGCGUGUGGGAUUGAAGGCCUUCGGGUCGUAAACCACUGUCAUUGGGAAAGAAUGCCCUGGUGGCGAACCAGGGAGAGACGGUACCCAAGAAGGAAGCCCCGGCUAACUCCGUGCCAGCAGCCGCGGUAAUACGGAGGGGGCAAGCGUUGUUCGGAUUUACUGGGCGUAAAGGGUGUGUAGGCGGCUGCGCAAGUCUGGUGUGAAAUCUUCACCGCUUAACGGGAAGAGGUCACUGGAAACUGCGUAGCUCGAGUAUGGUAGAGGCAAGCGGAAUUCCUGGUGUAGCGGUGGAAUGUGUAGAUAUCAGGAAGAACACCUGUGGCGAAGGCGGCUUGCUGGGCCAUCACUGACGCUGAGACACGAAAGCGUGGGGAGCAAACGGGAUUAGAUACCCCGGUAGUCCACGCUGUAAACGGUGCGCACUAGGUGUGGGAGGUAUCGACCCCUCCUGUGCCGCAGUUAACACAUUAAGUGCGCCGCCUGGGGAGUACGGCCGCAAGGUUGAAACUCAAAGGAAUUGACGGGGGCCCGCACAAGCGGUGGAGGAUGUNGUUUAAUUCGACGCAACGCGAAGAACCUUACCUGGGCUUGAACCGUAGAUUAAACUCCUGGAAACAGGAGCUGUGGCAACACGAAUCUAUAGAGGUGCUGCGUGGCUGUCGUCAGCUCGUGUCGUGAGAUGUUGGGUUAAGUCCCGCAACGAGCGCAACCCUUGUCGCCAGUUACCAUCAUUCAGUUGGGGACUCUGGCGAGACUGCCGGUGACAAACCGGAGGAAGGUGGGGAUGACGUCAAGUCANCAUGGCCCUUACGUCCAGGGCUACAAACGUCCUAC
rnacentral:rRNA from 1 species